rnacentral:rRNA from 1 species
AUGUACAUUCCUACAUCAUAGCGUUAAUGCACCAGAUCCCAUUAGAACUCUGCAAUUAAGAGUGCUCGGGCUAGAGUAGUACUGGGAUGGGUGACCUCAUGGGAAUUCUUAGUGUUUUACAUU